GACGAACGCUGGCGGCGUGCUUAACACAUGCAAGUCGAACGGAAAGGCCCUGCUUUUGUGGGGUGCUCGAGUGGCCAACGGGUGAGUAACACGUGAGUAACCUGCCCUUGACUUUGGGAUAACUUCAGGAAACUGGGGCUAAUACCGGAUAGGAGCUCCUGCUGCAUGGUGGGGGUUGGAAAGUUUCGGCGGGUGGGGAUGGACUCGCGGCUUAUCAGCUUGUUGGUGGGGUAGUGGCUUACCAAGGCUUUGACGGGUAGCCGGCCUGAGAGGGUGACCGGCCACAUUGGGACUGAGAUACGGCCCAGACUCCUACGGGAGGCAGCAGUGGGGAAUAUUGCACAAUGGGCGGAAGCCUGAUGCAGCAACGCCGCGUGCGGGAUGACGGCCUUCGGGUUGUAAACCGCUUUCGCCUGUGACGAAGCGUGAGUGACGGUAAUGGGUAAAGAAGCACCGGCUAACUACGUG
rnacentral:rRNA from 1 species